rnacentral:rRNA from 1 species
AGUUAAACGGCCGCGGUAUUCUGACCGUGCGAAGGUAGCAUAAUCACUUGUUCUUUAAAUAAGGACUAGUAUCAACGGCAUCACGAGGGUUAUACUGUCUCCUCUUUUCAAUCAGUGAAACUGAUCUCCCCGUGAAGAAGCGGGGAUAAACCUAUAAGACGAGAAGACCCCAUGGAGCUUUAAACUCAACAACAACUCCCUCUAUAAAGUACUACAUAUUAUGGAAGUCCUGUCUGUUAGUUUUGGGUUGGGGUGACCGCGGAGAAAAACUUAACCUCCACGAUGAACGGAAUUAACUCCUAAUCUAAGAGCCACUACUCUAAGAAUCAAUAAAUUGACAUAAACUGAUCCGAUAAUCGAUCAACGAACCAAGUUACCCUGGGGAUAACAGCGCAAUCCAUUUCAAGAGCCCCUAUCGACAAAUGGGUUUACGACCUCGAUGUUGGAUCAGGGUAUCCCAGUGGUGCAGCCGCUACUAAAGGUUUGUUUGUUCAACAAUUAAAACCCUACGUGAUCU